ACGUGAUCGUUCCAUUCGCUCG
rnacentral:miRNA from 1 species